rnacentral:lncRNA from 1 species
AUGAAAGGAAUUUGGAUUUUUUUUGCCUUCCUCCCCAAAGAAGAAAAGAGGGGAAAAUUAAUAAUAAUAAUAAUCAUCAUCAUCAUCAUCAUCCUUGGAUCUGUGGAAAGCAAAUACACUUAUCAGCAAGCACACAUACUCCACAAUCCAAAAUAAUAUGAGUUUUAAUAUUUCACUUUAAGAUAGUUUGGGGGUCUCAGGUUGGUGCAUAGCUUGCAUUUGGUACAAAGACUCUGAAAAAAUUUUUGAGAUGCUAGUAGUUACUGCUGAGAGGCAAGCACCUCUGACCCUAUUCUAGGGCCACCUUUCUCACUGCUGGGGGCUGACCAUAAGUCAGGAAUUCCCAAACUAUUCCACUGUCUUUGUGUGAGCUGCACCCAGAGGAGAACAGACAUGGCUAGACCUUUUACAGUGGAGACAAUAACAUUUCUUCACUAGGAAAUCUGGUGAGAAAGGUUCCUAUAAAAUAGAAUAGGGGCCUGAGCCAGUUUAAACACUAAGAGUGGACUGAUUCUGGAUGUUGGGGAAGGCUGGGGGAGUGGAAGGCCAUGCUUAGCUACACUAACAUCCUAGUUCCCACAUAGUACAUUAAUAGCAGGAAAUACAGAGAUGGCUAUACUGGGAUGACUAGAGUCCUCCCCAAAAAUGCAUAUUCUUCCAAAACCUCAGAAUGUGACUCUAUUUGGAUGUAGGGGUGGUGUAGAGGAAAUUAGUUAAGAUGAGGUCAUGCUGGAUUAGGGCAGGUCCUAGCUCCAAUGGUGUCCUCAUAGGACAGAUACAGAUGCACACACACAUGCACUAGGAAGAAGGCCAUAGGAACAUGGAACAGAGAUUUGAGUAAUGUCGCUGCAAACCAGGGAAGGCUAAGGAUUGCUGGCAAGCACCAGAAACCAGAAAUAGAAGAGGAAGGACUCUUCCCUGGCACCUGCAGAGAAAGUGUGGUCCUGUUGACACCUUGAUUUUGGACUUCUAGCCUACAGAAUAAAUUUCUAUUGUUUUAAGCCAUUCCAUUUGUCAUGCUUUGCUAUGACAGCUCGAGGAAACUAGUACAAGGGCUCUCACAGGCAGAUAUUCUACCAGUAAAUGACAAAUGGAACUAGGAAACAGAAUAACUACAAAAAAACCUGACUCAAAGACAAUAAAAGAACAGCUUCUCAGGACCUUUUUCCAUGGUGUAAACAACCUCAGGUAGCCCACAUACAUGGUUGGGAGUAGGGGGUAAAGCCAGAGGAAAUUUUUUAAGAUCAAGUCUCAGGGCAAUUUCUAUGUGCAGAGAAAGUAACGCUUAACCCCCCACCAGCCAAGUACUUCAAAGGGAACCGUUGACAGGGGCAGAAAAGAAAGCAUCUUUUGUUUACAAGGGGCAGCGUUUUUUAGCUGCUUCCUACUGGAAGCUCUUCCUUCCCACCUCACAGCACAGGGGAAAGAUAAAUCAUCCUCCUAGGCAGGCUGCAAGGAGACACCA